UUUUAGCCCCGAUUGAAGUGAAAAUCCUUGUGGGCUGGGGUUCAGCCCACAAGAUUGGAGUGGAAAGCGGGAGGAUAC
rnacentral:sRNA from 1 species